UGAUGAUGAGGCGCAAUUCGCUGGGAG
rnacentral:sRNA from 1 species